rnacentral:lncRNA from 1 species
UCCCUCUUGGUGAAAAAGAAAAAAAUCAAUAUCUAUAUGGGAGGAGUAAGGGAAGUGGCAGUGAUCUAUAAUAAACGAUUGUAAAGUCAGACAGAUUACAUUGAUCAUGCUUGUACCCAUCUUACAAGUUCAGAUUUAAUAGGAGGCAAUAUUCAACUGAACUUUGCAACAGUUUAUAUUUGACAAAUUGAGUCAAAGGCUUAGUAUAUAGGAGCGUGGAGUCACGGUGACAGCUACAACUUCAGGAAGGCUUGGGCAGGUUGUUGUGUUGACACCUGUGGUGAGCAGGGUUCACAGUGAUUUUCCAAAAUGGUGAAGAAAACAAAGUGUAACUUCCCUAAGUUAACCUAGUAUAUAUGCAUUUUGGGAUAAUACAGUGCAUGCUAAAACCAGGGAUAUUGUCUUUAUAUUUGUAUAUGGAACAGAUUAUAAACAGAUUUUGUUUUGUUUUGUUUUGUUACAUGACGGUUUGGUUCAUCCUAGGAAGGUGGGUGUCCUCAGGAUAACAGAGCUGAGCUUUACAAGGAGGAAAGUGAAAGUCCAGGCACAAAGCAUCGCCCUUGGCAAUAUUAUUAUUUUUCACAAGUUAUUUUUUUAAUUUGUUCUUUUUGAUAUACAUGACAACGGUGUAUUUUGACAUAUUAUACACAUAUAGAGUAUAACUUCCCAUUCUUGUGGUUGUACACAUGUGGAGUUUCACUGGUGGCGUGUUCAUAUACGAAGAUAGAAAAGUCAUGUCAGAUGCAUUCCACUGUCUUUCCUAUUCCCACCCCUCCCUUCCUUUCAUUCCCCUUUGUCUAAUGAACUUCUGUUCUUCCCUCCCCACCCCCUUAUUGUGCGUUAGUAGCAGCAUAUCAGAGAAAACAUUCAGCCUUUGCCUUUUUGGGAUUGGCGUAUUUCACUUAGCAUGAUAGUUUCCAGUUCCAUUCAUUUACUAGGAAAUGCCAUAAUUUCAUUCUUCUUUAUGGCUGAGUAUUACUGUGUAUACAUACCACAUUUUCUCUAUCCAUUUAUCUCUUGAAGAGUGUUCGCGUUUAAAACGCUCAGGGGGUCACUCCAGGGAAACUGGGC